rnacentral:rRNA from 1 species
UGCUCCACCGGAAAAAGAAGAGUGGCGAACGGGUGAGUAACACGUGGGUAACCUGCCCAUCAGAAGGGGAUAACACUUGGAAACAGGUGCUAAUACCGUAUAACAAUCGAAACCGCAUGGUUUUGAUUUGAAAGGCGCUUUCGGGUGUCGCUGAUGGAUGGACCCGCGGUGCAUUAGCUAGUUGGUGAGGUAACGGCUCACCAAGGCCACGAUGCAUAGCCGACCUGAGAGGGUGAUCGGCCACAUUGGGACUGAGACACGGCCCAAACUCCUACGGGAGGCAGCAGUAGGGAAUCUUCGGCAAUGGACGAAAGUCUGACCGAGCAACGCCGCGUGAGUGAAGAAGGUUUUCGGAUCGUAAAACUCUGUUGUUAGAGAAGAACAAGGAUGAGAGUAACUGUUCAUCCCUUGACGGUAUCUAACCAGAAAGCCACGGCUAACUACGUGCCAGCAGCCGCGGUAAUACGUAGGUGGCAAGCGUUGUCCGGAUUUAUUGGGCGUAAAGCGAGCGCAGGCGGUUUCUUAAGUCUGAUGUGAAAGCCCCCGGCUCAACCGGGGAGGGUCAUUGGAAACUGGGAGACUUGAGUGCAGAAGAGGAGAGUGGAAUUCCAUGUGUAGCGGUGAAAUGCGUAGAUAUAUGGAGGAACACCAGUGGCGAAGGCGGCUCUCUGGUCUGUAACUGACGCUGAGGCUCGAAAGCGUGGGGAGCAAACAGGAUUAGAUACCCUGGUAGUCCACGCCGUAAACGAUGAGUGCUAAGUGUUGGAGGGUUUCCGCCCUUCAGUGCUGCAGCUAACGCAUUA